GCCGGCGUACUCCAACUGGCAGAGAGGCGGCACUUAGAAUGCCGACAGUGCGGGUUCGAAUCCCGUCGCCGGCACCA
rnacentral:tRNA from 2 species